rnacentral:rRNA from 1 species
CCUACGGGCGGCUGCAGUGGGGAAUAUUGGACAAUGGGGGGAACCCUGAUCCAGCCAUGCCGCGUGUGUGAAGAAGGCCCUCGGGUUGUAAAGCACUUUCAGUGAGGAAGAACGCCUGGUGGUUAAUACCCAUCAGGAAAGACAUCACUCACAGAAGAAGCACCGGCUAACUCCGUGCCAGCAGCCGCGGUAAUACGGAGGGUGCGAGCGUUAAUCGGAAUUACUGGGCGUAAAGCGCGCGUAGGUGGCUUGAUAAGCCGGUUGUGAAAGCCCCGGGCUCAACCUGGGAACGGCAUCCGGAACUGUCAAGCUAGAGUGCAGGAGAGGAAGGUAGAAUUCCCGGUGUAGCGGUGAAAUGCGUAGAGAUCGGGAGGAAUACCAGUGGCGAAGGAGGCCUUCUGGACUGACACUGACACUGAGGUGCGAAAGCGUGGGUAGCAAACAGGAUUAGAUACCCGUGUAGUC